UACGUAGGGUGCAAGCGUUAAUCGGAAUUACUGGGCGUAAAGCGUGCGCAGGCGGUUAUGCAAGACAGAGGUGAAAUCCCCGGGCUCAACCUGGGAACUGCCUUUGUGACUGCAUGGCUAGAGUACGGUAGAGGGGGAUGGAAUUCCGCGUGUAGCAGUGAAAUGCGUAGAUAUGCGGAGGAACACCGAUGGCGAAGGCAAUCCCCUGGACCUGUACUGACGCUCAUGCACGAAAGCGUGGGGAGCAAACAGGAUUAGA
rnacentral:rRNA from 2 species